UCUGCCUUUCACUAAUACACACAAGCUAAUUAGCCCCUCUGUUUGUUUAUGUUAUCCUCUAUCUGCUGUUGCAACCUUUUACAAUGUUCUCCUUACCUAUUCAACACAAACGAACCACUAUGUCGGAAGCACAAUAAGUGAUAUGAGUAUAUUCAUCGCCCACGCAAAGCAAGCUCAAUCCAAAAGUUCAAAGGCAAGAAAAUCCAUCUAAAGCCCGGAAAGUUCAUUCUCCGUGGUGAGCCUUGCAAGCACUACUUAGAUGAGUUUAGUCGCCACGUUGUGUGGGGCAACACAGUUAGGCUCUACAACCAUAAUGUUCGUGCACUGCAAAAGAUCAUCCGCAGCACCACCACGCCUAAUAACUACUAUGUGUGCCACAUGACAGAAACAUUUGCAACACAAGGCAAAAGAAUGUACUUUAAUGUCCACUUUUCUAUGGGUUCCCUUUUUCCACACAUGGAUGCUGACCACGAUGAACUUACAAUCACAACUGGAGAUGGAACAACCACUAUCACGGUCCGCUUUAUCAAGGGAGUUGACAAAAGGGCCACCAUCACUAAAGGCUGGAGCAACUUCUUCCGUCGGACCCACAUGAACGAAGGGCAAGCAUAUGCUUUCGGCUUCAAAUGCACUUCCAAGGGAUUGCACCUGAUUGUCUACUCAAUAUAAGCAAGUUGCAGGAGCCCCUUUCUAUAUAACAUAGUAUUAGUAUAAAUGCCUACAAAGACAUCUAUGUUUAUCCUCCUUUUCGAUCUUAUGUAAUCCCCUAAGACAAUGUUGUGCAUUUAGC